GACGAACGCUGGCGGCGUGCCUAAUACAUGCAAGUAGAACGCACAGUUUAUACCGUAGCUUGCUACACCAUAGACUGUGAGUUGCGAACGGGUGAGUAACGCGUAGGUAACCUGCCUGGUAGCGGGGGAUAACUAUUGGAAACGAUAGCUAAUACCGCAUAAUAUUAAUUAUUGCAUGAUAAUUAAUUGAAAGGUGCAAUUGCACCACUACCAGAUGGACCUGCGUUGUAUUAGCUAGUAGGUGAGGUAACGGCUCACCUAGGCGACGAUACAUAGCCGACCUGAGAGGGUGAUCGGCCACACUGGGACUGAGACACGGCCCAGACGCCUACGGGAGGCAGCAGUAGGGAAUCUUCGGCAAUGGACGAAAGUCUGACCGAGCAACGCCGCGUGAGUGAAGAAGGGUAUCGGAUCGUAAAGCUCUGUUGUAAGAGAAGAACGGGUGUGAGAGUGGAAAGUUCACACUGUGACGGUAUCUUACCAGAAAGGGACGGCUAACUACGUG
rnacentral:rRNA from 1 species